rnacentral:misc_RNA from 1 species
UGAGGGUUUUGCUGGCGCCUUGCGUUGGCUCCCUUUAAAUAUAUUAGCGGAACUAUGCAGGACCGGCCUUGGUUUGAUAAUCCUAUCUAUGCCAUCGCUGAGAAGCUCUUGUUCAGCUUAUAGCUGUCUUCGGACUGUCUCUUUGGAGGCAAACUUUUAAUCUUGACCUCAAAUCAGGUAGGACUACCCGCUGAACUUAA